rnacentral:rRNA from 1 species
AUUGAACGCUAGCGGGAUGCUUUACACAUGCAAGUCGAACGAGUGGCGGACGGGUGAGUAAUAUAUCGGAACGUGCCCCGUCGCGGGGGAUCACUACUCGAAAGAGUGUCUAAUACCCCAUACUAUUUUAGCGGCCGCUAUCGUAUUAGAUAGUUUGUGGGGUAAAGGGUCACCAAGGCAACGAGCCGUAGCUGGUUUGAUAGGACGACCAGGCACACUGCGACUGAGACAAGGGCCAGAAUGCGACGUGAGGCAGCAGUGGGGAAUUUUGGACAAUGGGGGAAACCCUGAGCCGGCCAUCCCGCGUGUAUGAGAGUGCCUUCGGGUUGUAAAGUACUUUUGGCAGAGAAGCGGUAUGUGAAGAAGAAGCACCGGCUAACUACGUGCCAGACGCCGCGGUAAUAC